AUAUGAAUCACCUGGCUGUCUUGUUAAAAUGCAGAACCUAGUUUAGUAGGUCCCGGAGGGCGGGGCCAAGUGUCUGCAUUUCUAACAAGCUCCCAUGUGAUGCCAAU
rnacentral:pre_miRNA from 1 species